AUAAAUAAAAGAAUCUUCCAGAAAUUCAUGAAGAGACUUCAGGUCAGGAAAGCCUGAACUUUCUCAUCCAACACCUGUUCAAGUCGGAGGAUGCUGAUUAAUUCAUGAUGGAAAGGUAUCAAUUUCACAGCCCAGACCUCUACAUUCUUGAAAUGCUCUUCUCAUGGGAGACAUUAAAUAAGCUUUGAAUUAACUAAAAAUAUCCAACCCAGGCAGGAUAACACUGAUCAUCCUGAGGAUAUUGCCCUUGGAGUUAAUUUUUUGAGAGAAAUAAAACAAGAAACAUCAUAAGACACAAACCCCAAGCAACUGAUCUCACUGUCAAAAUCCAACCUGAGAACAAUGGAAUGGAUAAUGGUCAUUUCAACUGUCUUUGAGUCUGGAGGUUGCUUUUAACAAACUGAAUUGUAUUGCUGCUGGGCUAGUUAACAUUCAUAUUAGACUUUCAAAAUAGUGUGGAGAAAACAGUCAGCUCUUUGAUGGCAUUUAUGAUGGACACACAGCUGGGCUAAUGAAGACAAUAUGUCAAGGCUUGAAGAGCAAUGAUUUUACAGAUUUUUGAGACAUCUAUUUGGGUUUAUAGAGCUGAUUUCCUCUUUGGAGGCUGCAUUCUGAAUUAGUGAUAACCACCUUUAUAGAGAAAACAUUGAAUAUGAAGUGUCCAAGGAAUUUAGGCUAAAGAAGUAAUUCUAGGACUAGUCAGACAAAGAGAAAUACUGUCUGAAAUGACUGAAU
rnacentral:antisense_RNA from 1 species